rnacentral:rRNA from 1 species
GACGAACGCUGGCGGCGUGCUUAACACAUGCAAGUCGAACGGAAAGGCCCUGCUUUUGUGGGGUGCUCGAGUGGCGAACGGGUGAGUAACACGUGAGUAACCUGCCCUUGACUUUGGGAUAACUUCAGGAAACUGGGGCUAAUACCGGAUAGGAGCUCCUGCUGCAUGGUGGGGGUUGGAAAGUUUCGGCGGUUGGGGAUGGACUCGCGGCUUAUCAGCUUGUUGGUGGGGUAGUGGCUUACCAAGGCUUUGACGGGUAGCCGGCCUGAGAGGGUGACCGGCCACAUUGGGACUGAGAUACGGCCCAGACUCCUACGGGAGGCAGCAGUGGGGAAUAUUGCACAAUGGGCGGAAGCCUGAUGCAGCAACGCCGCGUGCGGGAUGACGGCCUUCGGGUUGUAAACCGCUUUCGCCUGUGACGAAGCGUGAGUGACGGUAAUGGGUAAAGAAGCACCGGCUAACUACGUGCCAGCAGCCGCGGUGAUACGUAGGGUGCGAGCGUUGUCCGGAUUUAUUGGGCGUAAAGGGCUCGUAGGUGGUUGAUCGCGUCGGAAGUGUAAUCUUGGGGCUUAACCCUGAGCGUGCUUUCGAUACGGGUUGACUUGAGGAAGGUAGGGGAGAAUGGAAUUCCUGGUGGAGCGGUGGAAUGCGCAGAUAUCAGGAGGAACACCAGUGGCGAAGGCGGUUCUCUGGGCCUUUCCUGACGCUGAGGAGCGAAAGCGUGGGGAGCGAACAGGCUUAGAUACCCUGGUAGUCCACGCUGUAAACGGUGGGUACUAGGUGUGGGGUCCAUUCCACGGGUUCCGUGCCGUAGCUAACGCUUUAAGUACCCCGCCUGGGGAGUACGGCCGCAAGGCUAAAACUCAAAGGAAUUGACGGGGCCCCGCACAAGCGGCGGAGCAUGCGGAUUAAUUCGAUGCAACGCGUAGAACCUUACCUGGGUUUGACAUGGAUCGGGAGUGCUCAGAGAUGGGUGUGCCUCUUUUGGGGUCGGUUCACAGGUGGUGCAUGGCUGUCGUCAGCUCGUGUCGUGAGAUGUUGGGUUAAGUCCCGCAACGAGCGCAACCCUUGUUCACUGUUGCCAGCACGUUAUGGUGGGGACUCAGUGGAGACCGCCGGGGUCAACUCGGAGGAAGGUGGGGAUGACGUCAAGUCAUCAUGCCCCUUAUGUCCAGGGCUUCACGCAUGCUACAAUGGCUGGUACAGAGAGUGGCGAGCCUGUGAGGGUGAGCGAAUCUCGGAAAGCCGGUCUCAGUUCGGAUUGGGGUCUGCAACUCGCCCUUAUGAAGUGGGAGUCGUUAGUAAUCGCACAUCAGCAACGCUGCGGUGAAUACGUUCCCGGGGGCU